GAUGAAGAACGUAGCGAAAUGCGAUAAGUAAUGUGAAUUGCAGAAUUCAGUGAAUCAUCGAAUCUUUGAACGCACAUUGCGCCCGCCGGCACUCCGGCGGGCAUGCCUGUCCGAGCGUCAUUUCAACCCUCAGGCCCGAACCCCCCCGGGGGGGGCGGGCCUGGUGUUGGGGCUCGGGGUCCGCGAGGCCCCCGUCCCCUAAAUCCAGUGGCGGUCGCGCCGCACCCUCCCCUGCGUAGUAGCACACCUCGCACCGGAGAGCAGCGCGUCCACGCCGUGAAACCCCCCACUUACCAAGGUUGACCUCGGAUCAGGUAGGAAUACCCGCUGAACUUAAGCAUAUCAAUAAGCGGAGGA
rnacentral:misc_RNA from 1 species